rnacentral:rRNA from 1 species
AGUGAACGCUGGCGGUAGGCCUAACACAUGCAAGUCGAACGGCAGGACAGUAAGAGCUUGCUCUUACGGGUGGCGAGUGGCGGGCGGGUGAGGAAUACAUCGGAAUCUACUUUUUCGUGGGGGAUAACGUAGGGAAACUUACGCUAAUACCGCAUACGACCUACGGGUGAAAGCAGGGGAUCUUCGGACCUUGCGCGAUUGAAUGAGCCGAUGUCGGAUUAGCUAGUUGGCGGGGUAAAGGCCCACCAAGGCGACGAUCCGUAGCUGGUCUGAGAGGAUGAUCAGCCACACUGGAACUGAGACACGGUCCAGACUCCUACGGGAGGCAGCAGUGGGGAAUAUUGGACAAUGGGCGCAAGCCUGAUCCAGCCAUACCGCGUGGGUGAAGAAGGCCUUCGGGUUGUAAAGCCCUUUUGUUGGGAAAGAAAAGCAGCAGGUUAAUACCCCGCUGUUCUGACGGUACCCAAAGAAUAAGCACCGGCUAACUUCGUG